rnacentral:piRNA from 1 species
UCAAUAAAUGUUCGCUACCUUGACCAUAUC